rnacentral:rRNA from 1 species
UUUUCCUACGGGAGGCAGCAGUAGGGAAUUUUCCCCAAUGAGGGAAAGGCUUGAUGGAGCGACACAGCGUGCACGAUGAAGGUCUUAUGGUUGUAAAGUGCUGUUGCAAGGGAAGAAAAAUAGUUGAGGAAAUGCUUCUACAUUGACGGUACCUUGUUAGAAAGCGAUGGCUAACUAUGUGCCAGCAGCCGCGGUAAUACAUAGGUCGCAAGCGUUAUCCGGAAUUAUUGGGCGUAAAGCGUUCGUAGGCUGUUUAUUAAGUCUGGAGUCAAAUCCCAGGGCUCAACCCUGGCUCGCUUUGGAUACUGGUAAACUAGAGUUGGAUGAGGUAAGCGGAAUUCCAUGUGAAGCGGUGAAAUGCGUUAUAUAUGGAAGAACACCAAAGGCGAAGGCAGCUUACUGGGU